GAAUUAGAAAUUCAUCCUGUACGUGAGAUCUGACUCCUCCAAUUAGUCCGAUUCCCCUUGUUGCCCUAAAUCGCCCGAUAAAUCAGUUGAAUUCAGCUUUCGAUUUCUGGUUCGCUUCUCAAAUCCACGAUGGGGAAAAAUGAGUUCCUGACCCCAAAAGCAAUUGCCAACAGAAUCAAAGCCAAGGGUUUACAGAAGCUGCGAUGGUAUUGCCAGAUGUGCCAGAAGCAAUGCCGGGACGAGAACGGGUUCAAGUGCCACUGUAUGAGCGAAUCCCACCAGCGCCAGAUGGAAGUCUUCGGCCAAAACCCCACCCGAAUCGUCGAUGGAUAUUCCGAGGAGUUCGAAACCUCCUUUCUUGAACAUAUGAAGCGGAGCCACCGAUUCAGCCGCAUAGCCGCCACUGUAGUGUAUAAUGAAUAUAUUGCUGACCGCCAUCAUGUUCAUAUGAAUUCUACACAGUGGGCUACGCUUACCGAGUUUGUCAAGUAUUUGGGUAGGACUGGCAAGUGUAAAGUCGAUGAAACACCCAAAGGGUGGUUUAUUACUUAUAUAGACCGGGAUUCGGAAACACUUUUUAAGGAGAAGAUGAAGAAUAAGAGGAUUAAGACAGACAUGGCGGAUGAGGAGAAGAAAGAGCGGGAGAUUCAGAGGCAAAUUGAGCGUGCCGAGCAGCUGAUGAUGACAUCAACAAAUCCGAAUGAGAAUGGGUUGGACCAAGUAGAAACUAAGACAAGAAUGUUGGAAAAAUUUGAGGGAGACGGUGAUAAGAAAAUUAAGCUAAGCUUAGGGUCUACAAAAAACGUUGUUGUAAAGGAGAAGGGGGAGAGUUUCAGAUUGGUGUUUGAUGAAGGGGAGAAUGAUAAUAAGAAUGGAAAACGAAGGAGGGAAGACCAAAUAUCUGGGAAGAAUGGGGGUGGAGCAUCAGUAUUGGAUGAAAUGAUGAGAGAACAAGAGAAAGCGAAAGAGAGGAGUAACAGGAAGGAUUAUUGGUUGUGGGAGGGGAUUAUUGUGAAAGUUAUGAGUAAGGCCUUAGCGGAAAAGGGGUACUACAAGCAAAAGGGUGUUAUACGGAAGGUAAUUGAUAAGUAUGUUGGCGAGAUUGAGAUGCUUGAGAGUAAGCAUGUACUGAGGGUUGAUCAGGAGGAGCUUGAGACAGUGAUUCCGCAAAUUGGAGGCCUUGUGAAGAUAGUUAAUGGGGCAUAUCGCGGGUCAAAUGCAAGGUUGCUAGCAGUCGAUACUGACAAUUUUUGCGCCAAGGUGCAGAUUGAGAAGGGAAUAUAUGAUGGGAGGGUUCUCAAGGCUGUUGAGUAUGAAGAUAUAUGUAAGCUAGCCCAGUGACAAGAUGAAAUCAUGGAAUGCUUUAUCUUCUGCUAUCUGGAGGCAAACAGGGGCUAGAAGAGACCAACAGUGUAGGAGGAUUAGACUAAACCGCUGUAUGUAAAAGGCUAUUGCACGUGGCAAGAAAUAUAUCUCCAAAGAAAGUUUUGAAGGGAGACAAACAAGGGCUAGAAGAGACCACAGUGUAGGAUUAGACUAAACUGCUGUAUGUAAAAGGCUAUUGCAUGUGAUAAGAAAUAUCUCCCAUUUUCUUUGGAAAGGAACAAAAGCAUAUUGUAACAGAUUACAGAUUACAAGGACUAGUCUAAACAGACACAGUGUAGGAUUAGACUAAACUGCUGUAUGUAAAAGGCUAUUGCAUGUGAUAAGAAAUAUCUCCCUUUUUCUUUGGAAAGGAACGAAAGCAUAUUGUAACAGAUUACAGAUUACAAGGACUAGUCUAAACAGCUGUACUUAAAGGCUAUUUACAACUCUAUUUGUAGAUCAUUUCUUGUCCAAUAUAUAUUUUUCGGCCAGUAAGGUAACUUGAGUGGGUUCCAUGUAAUAAGCAUAUAUUAUAAUACAUUAGUUGUUUAGUUAAAUGAUAUUUACUUUAUCUCUCCCUCCCUUACUGAAAGUUGUUCUCCAUAAUGUUCGGUUUCAGUAAAUGUGAUGAAGCAGCUGUUCUUAAUAGCAUAUUAUAGUUGAUUUGUUUCAACAUUGUACAAUGGGAUGUGCAAAUGUCUUUGUGCAUUCAUUGAUUUCUAAAAUAAACAAACUGCCUACAAACUCUCAGUGGCCAGUAUGCCAUUCUCACACUUCAACUACCGAAAGGGAAUCAGAUUGAGAGAAAAAGAGAUGUAGAAUUUUAUGGCACACUCUAAAGAAGGAAAAUAAAAUGUAGGAUUAUUAACAAUAUCGUGCUUUGGAAGAGCAUCAGUAAUAAUUUCCUUGAUGCUGAGGCUCAAUCGAGCAACUACGACAGAGGUUAUAUAAUAUCAGCAUGAGGGGAAAGCUAAAGCAGACUGGAGCUUGGUGUCCUUUAUUUUGCUGAUGGAAAGUACAGGGAAAGGAGAUUAUAGAUAGAAAGAAAGAGAAAUGAGUUACGAGGAUAAUGUAUCAAGGAAGAUGGGAUAUUUGAACACAAGGUUGAGCUGAGAUUAAGUAAGCUUCAAGGGAAAGCUCAAGAUGACUGAAAUUAGGUGUCCAUUAUUUUGCAGCCAAAGGGGGUUUGUACCAAAUCAGACAGAGGGAAAGGAUAUUAUGGAGACAAUGUAAGAAAAGAAAUUACAAAUAUCAAACAUGGGAAGCAAGAGAAUGUAGCGGGGAAGAUGGGAUCUCUAAACAAAAUGCUGAUCAUUUCUCCUCAAAGCUGGUUUUGUCACUUGAGAAAGUGGAAAAGUGAAAAGGUGUCAAUGCGAGAUGGCAAGUCCCCCAAGGAAUUAUAGCAAGUUGCUGAUUUUAUCUGUCUAUUUACUUUGUUGUGUUGGGGGGUUUUCUACCAAAUGAAGUGGGUUGGAGAAGGUGGAUUUUUUGAAAAAGCGUAAAACUCACUUUUUAUUGCUAAAGAAGGCCUUUUACCCUGGCAAACACAGAAGUCUGUUUCAUUUAUUUGCCUUGAAUAUAGUUUCUUCUUUCUCCCUGUUGAAUACUAUUCAUAAGAAAGGAUCAAAGAAAGCCUUUGACUUUGCCCUGAUACCUGUUUUUGGUUCUAAAAUGACCUGCGCUGGGAAAAUAUGUUACAUUUUUAGCAUAUUAAUCUGCCUAUGGUGAAAGUGUCUACUAAUUAUAUUUGGUCGGACUACAAAUUGUGAUCUGAAUGUAGCAUCCAUUUCUAGAUUAAA